GGGUUGAUGAUGAGAACCUUAUAUCGUCUUGAAGAGAGGAGAUUACUUAAAAUCAUGCUCAAUAGGAUUACGCUGAAGCCC
ensembl:snoRNA SNORD115 Small nucleolar RNA SNORD115